UACGGGGGGGGCAAGCGUUGUUCGGAAUUACUGGGCGUAAAGGGCUCGUAGGCGGCCAACUAAGUCAGACGUGAAAUCCCUCGGCUUAACCGGGGAACUGCAUCUGAUACUGGAUGGCUUGAGUUCGGGAGAGGGAUGCGGAAUUCCAGGUGUAGCGGUGAAAUGCGUAGAUAUCUGGAGGAACACCGGUGGCGAAGGCGGCGUUCUGGACUGCAUCUGACACUGAAAGACGAAAGCCAGGGGAGCAAACGGG
rnacentral:rRNA from 1 species